UACGUAGGGCGCAAGCGUUGUCCGGAAUUAUUGGGCGCAAAGAGCUCGUAGGCGGCCUGUUGCGUCCGCUGUGAAAUCCCGGGGCUCAACCCCGGGCCUGCAGUGGAUACGGGCUGGCUAGAGGCAGGCAGGGGAGAACGGAAUUCCUGGUGUAGCGGUGAAAUGCGCAGAUAUCAGGAAGAACACCCGUGGCGAAGGCGGCUCUCUGGGACGGUACUGACGCUGAGACGCGAAAGCGUGGGGAGCGAACAGG
rnacentral:rRNA from 1 species